ACACACACACAUGGCUGAUCUCCUGGUGGACGCCUCCUCCUUCAGGUUUGAUUACGAUCAAUGCUCAAAGGACGUGGAGACACCGAGCAGAGGAAGGCUCCACAGUCCGGCUCUGACGAGGACACCUCCAGGGAAUCCUUCAUCACCAGGAGCUAGUCGAGUGGGCCGGCCUGCACACGUUGACCUUACAGCCUUUUUUUUAAUCGGAUUAUGAAACAAGACAUCCAGCAGCUGAAGGAGGAGACUGGUACUGGACCGUGACUCAAGACGACAGACUGGGUUUAAUCCUGCAGGAAAAAAAAAAAAACUCCGCGUUCAACUUUUUGUUUAAAGUGUUAGAUCAAGAUGGAUGGAAUCUUCCUCUGAGUGUGAGGGAUUCCUCCGCCGUGUCUUUUUCAAGUCGAGUCAUGUUUAUGCUUUCAGCUGGACUGUGAUUUAGAUGAUCCUCUGAACGUGUUUUCUCUCUUUCAAACUUUCUCUGUCUGGUUUCGAGACAAGGGCCCAGUGUUUUGGAAAACGCCCCGCAGUUAAAAAAAAUCAUUACACUUGGUUUUCGCCCAUUUGAUUCUCUCUCCACAUCCUUUAGUUUCAGUUACCGUGGCUGAAAAGUGAAGCGGUCGUGGUGGUUCCUCCAGUGCUGAUGUGGCAGACUGAAUCAGUGAGUAUUACCUCAUCCAAACAGGAUUGUGCAAAUGAGCUCAUUCGCAGCCCGAUUGCCUCGUUGCCAGUUGGUACAUGAGUGGAUAUGCUUAUUUGCCACUAAAAGACAAAACAUCUGGAGGCUACAACCGGUUCCCUCUGGAGGCUGGAGGCAGCUAAUACCAUCUGUUUCACUGAAACUCCACAUUUUCUGCUGAAAGGGAAUCACUUAACAUGCGUUUUCACUGGCCGAGCCAAUUCCGCCCACAUCUGGACGACCGAAUGAAGUCCAACCGUCUCAGAGCAGUCACUCGUGGAUAUGCAUAAUAGAUUUUAAAAGGGAUAUCAUGUUUUAAUGCGUGCUGCUAGCAUGUUGGUUGAGCCCUCGUUUCUUUUUGAUCCAGGCGACUUUUGGGCGCACGGCCACGGAACUCGUUCCAGACGUUCAUCCUCAGAUGAUAUGAUGGUCGUUACGUGUACAUGAUUUAUAGAAUCGUUGCAGAUGCUCGAGUAACCGCUCGUCUCCUGCACUUGUAAACACUUAUAUAUUGUGAAAUACAGAAUUCAACAGGACGACAGCUGUUCACAAAGACUCUGUGUCGCUCCGGUAGCUGAGGCUCGUGUUCUUCGUGUGAUAGGAACCCAAUCGGCGCCUACGUCACUGUUUCCGAACAUUCUCGUCCAGAUUAAACAAGUUUUCAAACUAACACGGCACCACCGUUAGCAGAGUUGAUGCUUUCUCAAAUGAAAUCGUAAUAAUGUGGAUGUGGCCUAUAAAUAUGUUAAUAUUGCCCCGCCCCUUCCCCCGUCUCUCCACCCUCACAGCAGCCGCCUGCAGAUGAGGAUCUGAGCCCCACCCACAAACCGACAGGAUUGGUUUCUUCGGUUUGUGACAUCACAGACCCUGAAUCUGUGUUUACCUCAGUGUUGGGGGUGCAAAUUAAAUCCUUUAUCAUAUAAAAUCUCUGUAUUUUCACUGAAACGGGGAUUUUAAAAUGUGUGUUUGUGAGGCGGAGAGACAACAGAAGCUUUACACACCGCAGUGAAAACCUGUAACUGAACCAGAGGGAAACAAAUUGGGGAUUUUAUCAGUGAGUGCAUGUCAGUUAUUUCCUAUUUGCAAACUGUGCUGCUCUGUUUUUGUCGUCCACAUCUGCGCUGCGAGGUUCAGAGACUCAAAACAUCAUGUGUGACAAAUCGAGUCCCGGCAGCUCUGGACGACCUUCGACGCAGCAGCAUCCGAAGCUGGAACAACAAAGAGUCCGCGAGGAGUUUGAGCUUCAGGCCUCAAGUCUCAUCGCUGCCUCGUAGAUAAACAGACGAGUGGAGCCAGUCCUCCCUUCCUCCGCCCGUAGGUUUUCAUUAACUAACAUUUUAAAGAGUGUUUCCUGUCUUUUUUGUUUAGCUCUCGGCUUUCUGGAAAUAAAACCAUAUAAAUAGGACAUCUGGGACGUUUCCCAAAUUCUGCAUAGGCCGUGGCGCUCAGGAAAAAAAGAGCAUUGUUCCCCCGAGGAGGUCCCAUUAUAUUUAGAGGUCAAGAGGAAACUGCAGCAGGUUAUUGGAUGAAUGAUACAGAACUGAGAACGACAACAAAUCCAAGUGUUAGUCAUUUCAAGGAAAGUGGAGGAACAACGAGAGAUAGCAUCUUUCUAUGGCGUCUUUGUUUUAGUUUGUCACAGCGGCGACCUGCUGCUGGUACAGAACGACCUCACGGGACUGAAGCUGUUUGUUUAGUUUAAUUAUCUCACACAUCAAUAUAAAAAUACACGUGAGGGUAGAAACCAGCCGUAUAUGAAGACUACACCCAAAUAUUACAAAAGGAUAUAAAGCAAAUCUCAGUACAGGUUGUGUAUCUACCCUCUGAUUCCACAAGUGUGUCUGUAUGUGUUCAACUUGGAAACUUAAAUUAAAAGUCUGGUGCGAUUUGGUUUCGUGACAAGUUAAAUAUUCC